UUACUUAAUUAUAUUAUUGUUAGUUAUUUUGUUUAAUUAAAGAAUUUUAAAGUUUUAUAGGUUAAAGUUAAUUUAGAUUAAAUUAAUUUUUUAUUAAUUAAGUUGUGAAAUAAUUAUAUUAAAUUUUUUAUAUUAAAUUUUGUUAUUUUACCUUUGGUAUCAGGGGGUUUUAAUUAUUUAGAUUAUUUUUUUUUCUCGAAUUUUAAUGAAUUAAUUAAUAAUUUAUUUAAGUGUUUUAUAAUUUUUAAAAUUAUUAAUUAGGAAUGAAAUGUUAUUCGUAUUAAUUGAUAUCUAGUUAUUUUUUAAUUAAUUAAAUUAUUUUUAAUAUGGUGUGAUAUUGAAAUUAAUAAAUUAGGGAUAACCUUAAUUUUUAAUAAUUAGAUUUAAAUUUAUAAUUAAAUUUAUAAUUAAUAUUUUUUUUUAUAUUAAUAAAUUAAUAAUUUUAUAUAUUUAUUAAUUUAAUAUGUAUAUAUAUUAUAUUGAAAAAUUUAUAAAUAAUUUAUUUAUAUUUAUUUAUGAAAUUAUUAGUAAUUUAGUUUUAAUAUAAUUAUUUUUAUUAAUGAAAUUUUUUAUGAAUUAGACAAAUUUUAAAUUAUUUACCUGUUUAACAAAAACAUGGUUUUUUGAUUUUUAUAUAAGAUUUAUUCUGCUCAAUGAAAUUUUUAAAUGGCUGCAGUAUUUUAACUGUACUAAGGUAGCAUAAUAAUUUGGUUAUUAAAUGUAAUCUAGAAUGAAUGAUUUGAUAAAUAAUUAUUUUAUUAAAUUUUAUUUAUAAAUUUGGGAUUUAAGUAAAAAUUCUUAAUUUUUUUAAAUAGACGAUAAGACCCUAUAAAUCUUUAUAUUUAAAUUUAUUUUAUUAAAUGUAGAUAUUAUAUUGGGAUGGUAAGUUUAUUUUUUAACUAUAUAAUAUAUAAAAAUAUUAAUAUUUUUUGAAUUAAAUUAUUAAUAAUGGAGUAAGUUACUUUAGGGAUAACAGCAUAAUUAUUUAUUUAAGUUCUUAUAAAUUAAAUAGUUUAUGACCUCGAUGUUGAAUUAAAAUUUUAUUUAAAUGAAGAUUUUUAAUUUAUUAGUCUGUUCGACUAUUAAAAUUUUACAUGAUUUGAGUUCAGAUCGGUGUAAGCCAGAUCGGUUUCUAUCUUUUAAAAAUUAUAAUUUUUUUGUACGAAAGGACUUAAAUUUUUAAUAUUU
rnacentral:rRNA from 1 species